UGCGCAGAACCUUGCUGAGGCUGAUUUCGUUCUUACUUCUAUCAAUCAACCUUUAAUUGAUCUUCUUGGAAGAUGGAGGAGGAAUGGUUUAUAGGGAAUGAAGAGGCUUGAGAUCUGAUCUACAAACGUCAAUCAGAGAUCCCUAAACCCUAAUGCGUGGAGGACUUUGGAGGAGAAGAAGAGGAGGCGUGGAGAGCAAACAAUGAACCAUGGCGACUCAAAAUGAAACCCUCCUUUUAAUGCC
rnacentral:lncRNA from 1 species